rnacentral:misc_RNA from 1 species
UUUUUAGAAAUAAUGAAACACCCUACUUGUUAAGAUUUGAAACCAUCAUUACAGGUUGUAUAAUUUAUGUCCUUGACAUUCAAAAACUUGUUGUGUACACACAUUCAACAAUGGAGAAACAGUGUACUUCUAAGUAUAAGAAUUACAAGUAACUAAACUAUAGAUCAAAGGGCCACAAAUGAAGCAAAUAGUUGUAACACUAGCAGCAGCAAGCCCCAAUGACUCGGUCAACACCACAGAUGUGCCUGCAAGAAAGGCUAAAACCAUUGCAUAAAUGGACCAUUUAUUGAACAAGAAGGCAUAUCUUGCUAAGCAAGCAGCAGUGUAAUCCCUUUUCACUCCUGAAGCCCCAAAAUGGAGAAACAUUGAGGCAGUUGAUAAACCAAAUGCGAAUGAAUUAGCUAUCACAAAUACUCUAAAACCAGAUUUUUUGCUUAAAAUUGCCAUGCCUUGACUAUCUUGGCCAUCACUGUAGUACCCACCAGGCAAUGUCAAGGAUGCUGCAAAGGUGACAGUUGCAAUGAUAGUUGCUACCAGUAUGUAAACGUUGCCAAUCUCCUUCAUGUGCUCAGAUGCAUCCUUUUUCUGCCUUAGAGGUUCUGCUUCUCCAUGGAGGGCUACAUGUUUCACUUUGUUUUCCUUGCUGGAUCCCUGCGUCUCAAUAACUUCCACUUUCAUGGUUCCAACAGUGGUUGAUGGUUCGGAACUUCUUAAAGCGCCCCUUGCCCUCAGUUUCCACAAUAUUUUAGCCUUUUCAUGCUGUUUAAGCUGCAUACUUGAUUUGAUAAUGUCAAAAGUGGUCAUGCCUACGUUGUUUAUAGCACCUUUGUCAACUCUGUAAUCAUUUACUAGCAUUAAUAAAAUUUCAUAGCGUCCUUGAAGAGCAGCCAAGUGUAAAGGUGUGUUUCCAUCUUUAUCUCUAUCAUUUAUAAGGUCUGCAGUAACUGAAGUUGAUAGGAAUAUCUUAACCACACUUCUCUUUCCACUUUCUGCCGCAACAUGGAGAGCUGUUCGACCUCCAUUGUCUAACAACUCGGGCAUAUCAGGAUAUUUUGUAAUGAGCUGUAGGGUAACAUCACCAUGGCCAGCCUUUGCUGAAAUGUGAAGAGCAGACAUGCCUUCUUUGUCCUUCACAUAAGCUAGGGAGGUAUCAAACUGUAGUAAGAGUUCAACAAUUUCUGCAUUGCCCAAAUAUGCAGCAUAUUGAAGAGGAAUCCAUCCAAACUUAUCUGCUUCAGCAAUUGCAGAUGGACAUCUUUUAAGCACCGCACACAUGAAAUCAGCACCAAUGAAGCUGAACCUGUAAGAACGCUUAAUUUGUAAACAAUGGAGCUUUGAAGCAGCAGGAAGGAAUUGAUUUAUGCACAAGACAAAGAUCUUUGAGCAUAAAACAAUAAUGUUUAUAACCAUACUUGUCACCACAAACAUAAAACCUACAAGCCACAACAGCAUGGUUAGCCAAAAUCAAAAAUGAAAACAAGAAUCAAGAGCCAACAGGAAAUAUGUGUUUCAAGCAAGAUAGCGCUUGAAAUUUAUGUCUGACCAUAAAUGAAAAAUGUAAAACACAGAGAUCAAAAGCAGAGGUAUCUCAAGUCCUAGGUUCGUUUUGGUUUAUAAUAAUGAAUCCCACAUGGAUAAAUCCCUGAUGCUUGAUUCACCCUGCAAAACUCAAAACUUCAUCUAUGGAUCAAUCAAGUCCAAGACAAAGGAUGCUACAGGUUUGUUGUAAGAAUAGGGAUAGUCCUUUUGUGCAGCUGAAUUCCACAGUAACACUAUGUUUAGUGACUUACUCUUGUCUGCCCGAAUGAUGGCCAAAUGCAAGACAUUCAUGCUAUUCCUACCUCCAUAGGAGCAUGCAGGAGCAACUUCAAGGAUAAGGCAAGCAAUUUUGUAGAACUUUCUAUCCACAGCAAGGAAAAGUGAGGACUCUCCAGCAUUAUUGACAAUUUGAGCUAAUUCUGGGUCCUCAUUUACUAGUAAACUCACAACCUCGAAGUGCCCAUUUCGUGCAGCCUCAUGCAAAGCAGUAUCUUUGUCCAGAUUCUGCAUCCUCAGCAGCUCCUUCUCCACUUCAACUUCCACAAGUUUUGCGCAAUUAAUUAGAAAUUGAGUCAUCUGGAAAAGACCCAAUCUUGCAGCAAUAUGCAGUGGAGAAUCACCUUUUGUAUUAGUCUGAUGCAAGAGUGAUGGACCUUUUGUAUUAGUCUGAUGCAAGAGUGAUGGACAUAAAGCAAUGAUCUUUUCUGCUAUCUGCAUCUCCCCACAUUUUGCUGCAACAUGAAUAAUGGAGUUUUUGUGGCCAGAUGUCACAACGGCAGAAAAACUGUUAAACCAGCAAUAUUAUACAAAUUAUCAGCUCCAAGUAUCUGAUUGGCCUUUGGAAAUGACGAAUGGGCGAACUCAAAAUCUGCUUACUCUCCAAGCUUUAUCUUUAAUGCAAAACUUGAUUUGCUUUGUCGGAGAGAUGUCUGAAGCAUAUAGCCAUAGGAGAAACAUAAACAAAGUAAAGGUAUUCAGAGUCUCAAACCAUCAUAAGCAUCCAAAUUUGUUCAUUACAAGAAAGGAAAGGCUGAAUAUUCAUUAUACUUCUCUCUUUACUUCCAUGACGAUAAUCAUUUAAAUUGAGCUUUUGGCUCUAAAUUGGUUCAAGCUCCAAAGGAAAGUCGAAAAAUAAUUCACUUCGCUGAAAUUUUUGUUUCAACUUCCCUUAAUUUCCAUGAUCAAGACUUCAAUCCAAGUAUAACACAAUGCAGUCCUAAAAUAUUAGGGCCUACUUAUAUGGUAAUAACUUGGAAGCCAGGGGACUGGGCCUGACCAAAGCUUCAAGUUCAACUAUCAAACCGUCUUUGCCAAUUAAGAUAUUCAUACAAUAUGAAGGCAAAGCUUCACUCAGACCAUUCAACAAAAAAAAAAAAAAAC